GUUCAAAUCCUGGCUCCGCCAACUGUCAGCUGGCUUGUGAGCCCCCCGAAGAGCCAGUGACCAACGUCUGAUUCCCACAUGAAUAACUUCCCGACGCUCAGUACACUGAACACGGCAUUUCCUGAUCACGCGGACACAUCGGAGAGUUUGGCCUCGGUGGCCCCGAGAGGGUAAUAUCUCAAAGACUUUGAGGACACACCACCCCAGGAUGGAUUUGUGGGGAAACAGGAGCCCCAAACCGAUCGCACGUCGCUUAGGUGAAUCAGGUCGGAUAAACCUGUACUCAUCGACCGCAAACCUACUAGAUCGAUUGGUGUCUGGAUUAUUGCCGAGUCCUACGGAGAAUCCAGACCCUCCACGGUGAGAUUUUUUCCAGUUUCAAGGGUCCGAAUUUCCCAUUUGAAGGAGGGGAAGAAAGAAGUGCUUUGUGUUUGUGCGGCUGAACUCUAAUGAAACCAGGAAGAUGGAGACUGUGAGCCAUUUCCUUCGUUACACAUGUAGCGAUCCAGAUUUUCCUUGGCAAACGAGAAGUUCCCCCAAAUCCCUAGAGUUGGUGACAUCGCAGUUGGUAAGAUCUACUGGGGCAAGCGGGGAUAAGGAUCCGGUGGCUGAGGUCACAGUAGAUCAAGUUUUAGUAGUUCUGCGAUGGUCAAAACAGAAUGUUUUUAAGACGAUAAGUACGAGCGAUAAAGUGAUAUGCCCUGUAUUCAGAAUUUAAGACGAUAAGUACGAGCAAUAAAGGGAUAUGCCCUGUAUUCAGAAUCUACGAUAACUUUCCUGGUCCCUUUUCCCUUUUUCCUCUCCUCCUCCCCAUCCUCCCCCGCCCUACCUCC